rnacentral:rRNA from 1 species
UACCAGCCCCCGAGUGGUAAGGAUGAUUAUUUGGCCUAAAAGCGUUCGUAGCCGGCUUAGUAAGUCCUUCGUGAAAUCCGACGGCUCAACCGUCGGGCGUGCGAGGGAUACUGCCGAGCUUGAGGACGGGAGAGGUCGACGGUAGUCUAAGGGUAGGGGUGAAAUCCUAUAAUCCUUGGAGGACCACCAGUGGCGAAGGCGGUCGACUAGAACGUGCCUGACGGUGAUGGACGAAAGCUGGGGGAGCGAACCGGAUUAGAUACCCCGGGUAGUCCCAGCUGUAAACGAUGCGGGCUAGGUGUUGGGGUAGCCACGAGCUACUUCAGUGCCGCAGAGAAGUUGUUAAGCCCGCCGCCUGGGGAGUACGGUCGCAAGACUGAAACUUAAAGGAAUUGGCGGGGAGCACCACAAGGGGUGAAGGCUGCGGUUU